ACGCUGGCGGCGUGCUUAACACAUGCAAGUCGAACGGGAUCCAUCAAGCUUGCUUGAUGGUGAGAGUGGCGAACGGGUGAGUAAUGCGUGACUAACCUGCCUCAUACACCGGAAUAGCUCCUGGAAACGGGUGGUAAUGCCGGAUGCUCCAACAUUUCACAUGUUUUGUUGGGAAAGCGUUAGCGGUAUGAGAUGGGGUCGCGUCCUAUCAGCUUGUUGGUGAGGUAAUGGCUCACCAAGGCUUCGACGGGUAGCCGGCCUGAGAGGGCGACCGGCCACAUUGGGACUGAGAUACGGCCCAGACUCCUACGGGAGGCAGCAGUGGGGAAUAUUGCACAAUGGGCGAAAGCCUGAUGCAGCGACGCCGCGUGCGGGAUGAAGGCCUUCGGGUUGUAAACCGCUUUUAAUUGGGAGCAAGCGAGAGUGAGUGUACCUUUUGAAUAAGCACCGGCUAACUACGUGCCAGCAGCCGCGGUAAUACGUAGGGUGCAAGCGUUAUCCGGAAUUAUUGGGCGUAAAGAGCUCGUAGGCGGUUUGUCACGCCUGGUGUGAAAGUCCAUCGCUUAACGGUGGAUCUGCGCCGGGUACGGGCAGGCUAGAGUGCAGUAGGGGAGAUGGAAUUCCCGGUGUAACGGUGGAAUGUGUAGAUAUCGGGAAGAACACCAAUGGCGAAGGCAGAUCUCUGGGCUGUUACUGACGCUGAGGAGCGAAAGCAUGGGGAGCGAACAGGAUUAGAUA
rnacentral:rRNA from 1 species